CUGGCCUUGACAUGCUACUAACGAAGCAGAGAUGCAUUAGGUACCCGAAAGGGAAAGUAGACACAGGUGCUGCAUGGCUGUCGUCAGCUCGUGUCGUGGGAUGUUGGGUUAAGUCCCGCAACGAGCGCAACCCUUGCCAUUAAUUGCCAUCAUUUAGUUGGGCACUUUAAUGGGACUGCCGGUGACAAACCGGAGGAAGGUGGGGAUGACGUCAAGUCCUCAUGGCCCUUAUGGCCAGGGCUUCACACGUAAUACAAUGGUCGGUACAGAGGGUUGCCAACCCGCAAGGGGGAGCCAAUCCCAGAAAGCCGAUCGUAGUCCGGAUUGAGGUCUGCAACUCGACCUCAUGAAGUCGGAAUCGCUAGUAAUCGCGGAUCAGCAUGUCGCGGUGAAUACGUUCCC
rnacentral:rRNA from 1 species